rnacentral:tRNA from 1 species
AGCCAGUGUGGCAUAGUGGCUUGAGUGUUGGACUGUGACUCUGGAGACCAGAGUUCGAAUCUCAGCUUGGCUA